GAUCCUGGCUCAGGAUGAACGCUGGCGGCGUGCCUAAUACAUGCAAGUAGAACGCUGAAGGAAGGAGCUUGCUCUUUCCGGAUGAGUUGCGAAACGGGUGAGUAACGCGUAGGUAACCUGCCUGGUAGCGGGGGAUAACUAUUGGAAAACGAUAGCUAAUACCGCAUAACAGUAGAUGUUGCAUGACAUUUACUUGAAAGGUGCAAAUUGCACCACUACCAGAUGGACCUGCGUUGUA
rnacentral:rRNA from 1 species